UACGGAGGGGGCGAGCGUUAUUCGGAAUUAUUGGGCGUAAAGGGCGCGUAGGCGGCUUGACAAGUCAAAGGUGAAAUCCCUCGGCUCAACUGAGGAACUGCCUUUGAAACUGUCUGGCUUGAGGCCGGGAGGGGGUAGCGGAAUUCCCAGUGUAGCGGUGAAAUGCGUAGAUAUUGGGAGGAACACCAGUGGCGAAGGCAGCUACCUGGACCGGUUCUGACGCUGAUGCGCGAAAGCGUGGGUAGCAAACAGG
rnacentral:rRNA from 1 species